AGUGAACGCUGGCGGUAGGCCUAACACAUGCAAGUCGAACGGCAGCACAGUAAGAGCUUGCUCUUACGGGUGGCGAGUGGCGGACGUGUGAGGAAUACAUCGGAAUCUACUUUUUCGUGGGAGAUAACGUAGGGAAACUUACUCUAAUACCUCAUACGACCUACGGGUGAAAGCAGGUGAUCUUCGGACCUUUCGCGAUUGAAUGAGCCGAUGUCGGAUUAGCUAGUUGGCGGGGUAAAGGCCCACCAAGGCGACGAUCCGUAGCUGGUCUGAGAGGAUGAUCAGCCAAACUGGAACUGAGACACGGUGCAGACUCCUACGGGAGGAAGCAGUGGGGAAUAUUGGAAAAUGGGCGAAAGCCUGAUACAGCCAUACCGCGUGGGUGAAGAAGGCCUUCGGGUUGUAAAGCCCUUUUGUUGGGAAAGAAAAGCAGCAGGUUAAUACCCCGCUGUUCUGACGGUACCCAAAGAAUAAGCACCGGCUAACUUCGUG
rnacentral:rRNA from 1 species